rnacentral:rRNA from 1 species
GACGAACGCUGGCGGCGUGCUUAACACAUGCAAGUCGAACGGAAAGGCCCCCACCUUGGUGGGGGUGCUCGAGUGGCGAACGGGUGAGUAACACGUGGGUGAUCUGCCCUGUACUUCGGGAUAAGCUUGGGAAACUGGGUCUAAUACCGGAUAGGACCAUGGUUUAGUGUCUCAUGGUGGAAAAAUUAUUGUUUUGGUGCAGGAUGAGCUCGCGGCCUAUCAGCUUGUUGGUGGGGUAAUGGCCUACCAAGGCGUCGACGGGUAGCCGGCCUGAGAGGGUGGACGGCCACGUUGGGACUGAGAUACGGCCCAGACUCCUACGGGAGGCGGCAGUGGGGAAUAUUGCACAAUGGGCGCAAGCCUGAUGCAGCGACGCCGCGUGGGGGAUGACGGCCUUCGGGUUGUAAACUCCUUUCGUUAGGGACGAAGCCACACCUUUUUUGGGUGUGGUGACGGUACCUUUGUUAAGAAGCACCGGCUAACUACGUG